AAUAAAGGAAUUGAAGGAGAUCCCUUGUGAAAUUGGUGAAAUACCAACAAUGCAUUCAAUUCACUUGGACUAUUGCAGCGAAUCUGUGGUGGAGUCUGCCAAGAUGAUAGCAGAGGAGCAAGAUGAAAUACAAGUUCGAGCUGUGCUCUUCAACAACAGCAACAACCAAGCAUUACGGAGGAGCCUCGCAAGCCCCAACUUUCAAGUUGAGAUAGACUAUUUUUAGUCUGAAACAUGGAGAUGUAAUCACUCUUUGCUUCCAGGUACUCUCUCUUCUCUCUGUUCAUGGACUGAUGAAGGCCACCUACGUCGGAAGUGGUUCUUGUGGAUGUGCGGAUUGACACCAACUUCUGUUUUCUUUGGGUUCUGUUUCCGCGUUUGUCUUUGCAAAUACUGUUUGUACAUGUUUGCUUGUUCCAUUGAAUUUGUAAUUCUUAACUGCCAUAAAAUCCAUUUUUGUUGCUUCCAGUAGGCUUGUUUAUUAACUUAAAUUUGAUGCAAAUAAUAAAUUAUUGGCUUGUUUAUUUUA